CCCUUGGGGAGUAGCCUGCUUCCAGCAAUGGAAGCGCCCACAUCAACAUACUCGGCCAGUGCGCCGUGGUGUGGGCAGCCAGACCCGGUUGGCGAGACCAGCGGCAUGCGUGCGCAACUACGGUUGGGCGCGGCGUGUGCCGUUUGUGUCCGCCCGACC
rfam:Stenotrophomonas terrae strain DSM 18941 contig_44, whole genome shotgun sequence.